CCUACGGGUGGCUGCAGUGGGGAAUAUUGCACAAUGGGCGCAAGCCUGAUGCAGCCAUGCCGCGUGUGUGAAGAAGGCCUUCGGGUUGUAAAGCACUUUCAGCGGGGAGGAAGGCGGUGAGGUUAAUAACCUCAUCGAUUGACGUUACCCGCAGAAGAAGCACCGGCUAACUCCGUGCCAGCAGCCGCGGUAAUACGGAGGGUGCAAGCGUUAAUCGGAAUUACUGGGCGUAAAGCGCACGCAGGCGGUCGGUCAAGUCGGAUGUGAAAUCCCCGGGCUCAACCUGGGAACUGCAUUCGAAACUGGCAGGCUAGAGUCUUGUAGAGGGGGGUAGAAUUCCAGGUGUAGCGGUGAAUGCGUAGAGAUCUGGAGGAAUACCGGUGGCGAAGGCGGCCCCCUGGACAAAGACUGACGCUCAGGUGCGAAAGCGUGGGGAGCAAACGGGAUUAGAUACCCUGGUAGUC
rnacentral:rRNA from 1 species